AUGCUUCGCCGGCUCCAACAUGCCGGGGCGCAAGUGUUGGCCGCCCUCUGGCCCGGCGAGACGAUCCCCCGCACCCGAAGCCGGACUGCCGACUGGCUGGAGGUCGCAGUUGGUCGCUUUGAGGCUUGGAAGGCGUCGGCGGCCCGCCUCGGAGCUGAGCGGGCGUUGGAGUUCGUUCGGGCUUGGUACCCAGGGCUGAGCCUGGACCAGCUGCGCACUUGGCGGAUGGAGGCCGACGCGGAGCUGGAAGAGGUGAGGCCGGCUAUCGCCCAGCGGGCUUCAACGAUCGCCGAGUGCACCGACAUCAGCGUUUUUGCACCCGAGAUCGAUGAUGACGGUGUUGCCCAGCCAGAGGAGUGGUUCGGGCUGAACCCGGCGGUGGGCGAGGACUCGGCGGAGGAGAUCGCCUCCAGCAACGAGGGCGAGGAUGAGGAGGAGGACGGCGAAGACGUCGAGCCGGCUGGUGGAACAACCGGCCGACCUCAGGCCGACCGUGCCUCCAGCAAUGAGGCGCGUGGAAGCGCACCUUCUGCGGGAGGCGGUGACCAAGCCGAGGUUCGCUAG
rnacentral:rRNA from 1 species